GGACCUGACUGCUAUCGGAUUGAUACUAAGCCAUGCGAGUCAUUGUAGCAAUACAAGGCAUACGGCUCAGUAACGCGUAGUCAACCUAACCUAUGGACGGGAAUAACCUCGGGAAACUGAGAAUAAUACCCGAUAGAACAUUAUACCUGGAAUGGUUUAUGUUCCAAAUGAUUUAUCGCCGUAGGAUGGGACUGCGGCCUAUCAGUUUGUUGGUGAGGUAAUGGCCCACCAAGACUAUUACAGGUACGGGCUCUGAGAGGAGUAGCCCGGAGAUGGGUACUGAGACACGGACCCAGGCCCUAUGGGGCGCAGCAGGCGAGAAAACUUUGCAAUGUGCGAAAGCACGACAAGGUUAAUCCGAGUGAUUUCUGCUAAAGAAAUCUUUUGUUAGUCCUAGAAACACUAACGAAUAAGGGGUGGGCAAGUUCUGGUGU
rnacentral:rRNA from 1 species